CACGUAGGGGGCAAGCGUUGUCCGGAUUCAUUGGGCGUAAAGCGCGCGUAGGCGGCCCGGAAAGUCAGAUGUGAAAACCUGGGGCUCAACCCCAGGCGUGCACCCGAUACUCCCGGGCUGGAGGCAGGUAGGGGAGAUCGGAAUUCCUGGUGUAGCGGUGAAAUGCGCAGAUAUCAGGAGGAACACCGGUGGCGAAGGCGGAUCUCUGGGCCUUGCCUGACGCUGAGGCGCGAAAGCUAGGGGAGCGAACAGG
rnacentral:rRNA from 1 species